CCUACGGGGGGCUGCAGUAAGGAAUAUUGGACAAUGGGCGCAAGCCUGAUCCAGCCAUGCCGCGUGCAGGAUGAAAGUGCUAUGCACUGUAAACUGCUUUUGUUUGGGAAAAAACCCCUGGUUUCUACCGGGGCUGAUUGUACCAAAAGAAUAAGGGACGGCUAACUUCGUGCCAGCAGCCGCGGUAAUACGAAGGUCCCAAGCGUUAUCCGGAUUUAUUGGGUUUAAAGGGUGCGUAGGCGGACUAUUAAGUCAGUGGUGAAAGCCCCAAGCUUAACUUGGGAACUGCCAUUGAUACUGAUGGUCUUGAGUACAUUUGAGGUGGGCGGAAUGUGUCAUGUAGCGGUGAAAUGCUUAGAUAUGACACAGAACACCGAUUGCGAAGGCAGCUCACUAAACUGUAACUGACGCUGAGGCACGAAAGCGUGGGGAGCAAACAGGAUUAGAUACCCCUGUAGUC
rnacentral:rRNA from 1 species